UACGUAGGGGGGCAAGCGUUGUCCGGAUUUAUUGGGCGUAAAGAGCGUGUAGGCGGCCAGACAGGUCAGCUGUGAAAACUCGAGGCUCAACCUCGAGACGUCGGUUGAAACCGUCUGGCUAGAGUCCGGAAGAGGAGAGUGGAAUUCCCGGUGUAGCGGUGAAAUGCGCAGAUAUCGGGAAGAACACCCGUGGCGAAGGCAGCUCGCUGGGACGGUACUGACGCUGAGGAGCGAAAGCGUGGGGAGCGAACAGG
rnacentral:rRNA from 1 species